GACGAACGCUGGCGGCGUGCUUAACACAUGCAAGUCGAACGAUGAACCCGGAGCUUGCUCCGGUGGAUUAGUGGCGAACGGGUGAGUAACACGUGAGUAACCUGCCCUUGACUCUGGGAUAACUGCGGGAAACUGUAGCUAAUACCGGAUACGACCCUCGGCGGCAUCGCCAGGGGGUGGAAAGAAUUUCGGUCAAGGAUGGACUCGCGGCCUAUCAGCUAGUUGGUGAGGUAACGGCUCACCAAGGCGACGACGGGUAGCCGGCCUGAGAGGGUGACCGGCCAGACGGGGACUGGGACACGGCCCAGACUCCUACGGGAGGCAGCAGUGGGGAAUAUUGCACAGUGGGCGGCAGCCUGACGCAGCAACGCCGCGUGCGGGAUGACGGCCUUCGGGUUGUAAACCGCUUUCAGCAGGGAAGAAGCCGCAAGGUGACGGUACCUGCAGAAGAAGCACCGGCUAACUACGUGCCAGCAGCCGCGGUAA
rnacentral:rRNA from 1 species